ACUUGAAUUGAAGAGUUUGAUCAUGGCUCAGAUUGAACGCUGGCGGCAGGCUUAACACAUGCAAGUCGAACGGUAGCAGGAGAAAGCUUGCUUUCUUGCUGACGAGUGGCGGACGGGUGAGUAAUGCUUGGGAAUCUGGCUUAUGGAGGGGGAUAACGACGGGAAACUGUCGCUAAUACCGCGUAUUAUCGGAAGAUGAAAGUGCGGGACUGAGAGGC
rnacentral:rRNA from 1 species